rnacentral:rRNA from 2 species
UUAAGCGACUAAGCGUACACGGUGGAUGCCCUGGCAGUCAGAGGCGAUGAAGGACGUGCUAAUCUGCGAAAAGCGUCGGUAAGGUGAUAUGAACCGUUAUAACCGGCGAUGUCCGAAUGGGGAAACCCAGUGCAAUUCGUUGCACUAUCGUUAACUGAAUACAUAGGUUAACGAGGCGAACCGGGGGAACUGAAACAUCUAAGUACCCCGAGGAAAAGAAAUCAACCGAGAUUCCCCCAGUAGCGGCGAGCGAACGGGGAGCAGCCCAGAGUCUGAAUCAGCUUGUGUGUUAGUGGAACGGUCUGGAAAGUCCGACGGUACAGGGUGAUAGUCCCGUACACCAAAAUGCACAGGCUGUGAACUCGAAGAGUAGGGCGGGACACGUGGUAUCCUGUCUGAAUAUGGGGGGACCAUCCUCCAAGGCUAAAUACUCCUGACUGACCGAUAGUGAACCAGUACCGUGAGGGAAAGGCGAAAAGAACCCCGGCGAGGGGAGUGAAAAAGAACCUGAAACCGUGUACGUACAAGCAGUGGGAGCACCUUCGGGUGUGACUGCGUACCUUUUGUAUAAUGGGUCAGCGACUUAUAUUCUGUAGCAAGGUUAACCGUAUAGGGGAGCCGCAGGGAAACCGAGUCUUAACUGGGCGUUAAGUUGCAGGGUAUAGACCCGAAACCCGGUGAUCUAGCCAUGGGCAGGUUGAAGGUUGGGUAACACUAACUGGAGGACCGAACCGACUAAUGUUGAAAAAUUAGCGGAUGACUUGUGGCUGGGGGUGAAAGGCCAAUCAAACCGGGAGAUAGCUGGUUCUCCCCGAAAGCUAUUUAGGUAGCGCCUCGUGAACUCAUCUUCGGGGGUAGAGCACUGUUUCGGCUAGGGGGUCAUCCCGACUUACCAACCCGAUGCAAACUACGAAUACCGAAGAAUGUUAUCACGGGAGACACACGGCGGGUGCUAACGUCCGUCGUGAAGAGGGAAACAACCCAGACCGCCAGCUAAGGUCCCAAAGUCAUGGUUAAGUGGGAAACGAUGUGGGAAGGCACAGACAGCCAGGAUGUUGGCUUAGAAGCAGCCAUCAUUUAAAGAAAGCGUAAUAGCUCACUGGUCGAGUCGGCCUGCGCGGAAGAUGUAACGGGGCUAAACCAUGCACCGAAGCUGCGGCAGCGACACUAUGUGUUGUUGGGUAGGGGAGCGUUCUGUAAGCCUGCGAAGGUGUGCUGUGAGGCAUGCUGGAGGUAUCAGAAGUGCGAAUGCUGACAUAAGUAACGAUAAAGCGGGUGAAAAGCCCGCUCGCCGGAAGACCAAGGGUUCCUGUCCAACGUUAAUCGGGGCAGGGUGAGUCGACCCCUAAGGCGAGGCCGAAAGGCGUAGUCGAUGGGAAACAGGUUAAUAUUCCUGUACUUGGUGUUACUGCGAAGGGGGGACGGAGAAGGCUAUGUUAGCCGGGCGACGGUUGUCCCGGUUUAAGCAUGUAGGCUGAUUGUCCAGGCAAAUCCGGAUAAUCAAGGCUGAGGUGUGAUGACGAGGCACUACGGUGCUGAAGUAACAAAUGCCCUGCUUCCAGGAAAAGCCUCUAAGCAUCAGGUAACAUCAAAUCGUACCCCAAACCGACACAGGUGGUCAGGUAGAGAAUACCAAGGCGCUUGAGAGAACUCGGGUGAAGGAACUAGGCAAAAUGGUGCCGUAACUUCGGGAGAAGGCACGCUGGUGUGUAGGUGAAGUCCCUGCGGAUGGAGCUGAGACCAGUCGAAGAUACCAGCUGGCUGCAACUGUUUAUUAAAAACACAGCACUGUGCAAACACGAAAGUGGACGUAUACGGUGUGACGCCUGCCCGGUGCCGGAAGGUUAAUUGAUGGGGUUAUCCGUAAGGAGAAGCUCUUGAUCGAAGCCCCGGUAAACGGCGGCCGUAACUAUAACGGUCCUAAGGUAGCGAAAUUCCUUGUCGGGUAAGUUCCGACCUGCACGAAUGGCGUAAUGAUGGCCAGGCUGUCUCCACCCGAGACUCAGUGAAAUUGAACUCGCUGUGAAGAUGCAGUGUACCCGCGGCAAGACGGAAAGACCCCGUGAACCUUUACUAUAGCUUGACACUGAACAUUGAGCCUUGAUGUGUAGGAUAGGUGGGAGGCUUUGAAGCGUGGACGCCAGUCUGCGUGGAGCCAACCUUGAAAUACCACCCUUUAAUGUUUGAUGUUCUAACGUUGGCCCCUGACCGGGGUUGCGGACAGUGUCUGGUGGGUAGUUUGACUGGGGCGGUCUCCUCCCAAAGCGUAACGGAGGAGCACGAAGGUUAGCUAAUCCUGGUCGGACAUCAGGAGGUUAGUGCAAUGGCAUAAGCUAGCUUGACUGCGAGCGUGACGGCGCGAGCAGGUGCGAAAGCAGGUCAUAGUGAUCCGGUGGUUCUGAAUGGAAGGGCCAUCGCUCAACGGAUAAAAGGUACUCCGGGGAUAACAGGCUGAUACCGCCCAAGAGUUCAUAUCGACGGCGGUGUUUGGCACCUCGAUGUCGGCUCAUCACAUCCUGGGGCUGAAGUAGGUCCCAAGGGUAUGGCUGUUCGCCAUUUAAAGUGGUACGCGAGCUGGGUUUAGAACGUCGUGAGACAGUUCGGUCCCUAUCUGCCGUGGGCGCUGGAGAAUUGAGGGGGGCUGCUCCUAGUACGAGAGGACCGGAGUGGACGCAUCACUGGUGUUCGGGUUGUCAUGCCAAUGGCACUGCCCGGUAGCUAAAUGCGGAAGAGAUAAGUGCUGAAAGCAUCUAAGCACGAAACUUGCCCCGAGAUGAGUUCUCCCUGAGACUUUAAGUCUCCUGAAGGAACGUU